rnacentral:rRNA from 1 species
UACGGGGGGAGCAAGCGUUGUUCGGAUUUACUGGGCGUAAAGUGUGCGCAGGCGGCUCCGCAAGUCGAGUGUGAAAUCCCCGAGCUUAACUUGGGAAUUGCGCUCGAAACUACGGAGCUGGAGUGUGGCAGAGGAAGGUGGAAUUCCACGUGUAGCGGUGAAAUGCGUAGAUAUGUGGAGGAACACCGAUGGCGAAGGCAGCCUUCUGGGCCAACACUGACGCUCAUGCACGAAAGCGUGGGGAGCAAACAGG